GGAUGCGAUCAUACCAGCACUAAUGCACCGGAUCACAUCAGAACUCCGAAGUUAAGCGUGCUUGGGCGAGAGUAGUACUAGGAUGGGUGACCCCCUGUGGGAUGGCUUCGGGUUGCAUCCC